rnacentral:lncRNA from 8 species
UCUUUUGCUUUUUUAUCUUCUAUCCAUCCAGCUUUUCUUUUUCAUUCUUAAUCCAUCCUUAUUAUUCAUGACAUUUCACUCUUCCUCUUUCUCAACCAUAUUGUUUCUUUAUUCCUCUUCCUCCUUUCUCAAUCUUAUUGUUCCCUUGCUUCCUCUAUCUCCUUUCUCAACCUUAUUGUUCCCUUGCUUCCUCUUCCUCCUGUCUCAAUCUUAUUGUUCCCUUGCUUCUUCUAUCUCCUUUCUCAACCUUAUUGUUCCCUUGCUUCCUCUAUCUCCUUUCUCAAUCUUAUUGUUCCCUUGCUUCCUCUAUCUCCUUUCUCAACCUUAUUGUUCCCUUGCUUCCUCUUCCUCUUUUCUGAAUCUUAUUGUUCCCUUGCUUCCUCUAUCUCCUUUCUCAAUCUUAUUGUUACCUUGCUUCCUCUUCCUCCUGUCUCAAUCUUAUUGUUCCCUUGCUUCCUCUAUCUCCUUUCUCAAUCUUAUUGUUCCCUUGCUUCCUCUUCCUCCUGUCUCAAUCUUAUUGUUCCCUUGCUUCCUCUAUCUCCUUUCUCAACCUUAUUGUUCCCUUGCUUCCUCUUCCUCUUUUCUGAAUUGUAUUGUUCCCUUGCUUCCUCUAUCUCCUUUCUCAACCUUAUUGUUCCCUUGCUUCCUCUUCCUCUUUUCUGAAUCUUAUUGUACCCUUGCUUCCUUUUCCUCUUUUCUGAAUUGUAUUGUUCCCUUGCUUCCUCUUCCUCCUGUCUCAAUCUUAUUGUUCCCUUGCUUCCUCUAUCUCCUUUCUCAACCUUAUUGUUCCCUUGCUUCCUCUUCCUCUUUUCUGAAUUGUAUUGUUCCCUUGCUUCCUCUAUCUCCUUUCUCAAUCUUAUUGUUCCCUUGCUUCCUCUUCCUCCUGUCUCAAUCUUAUUGUUCCCUUGCUUCCUCUAUCUCCUUUCUCAACCUUAUUGUUCCCUUGCUUCCUCUUCCUCUUUUCUGAAUUGUAUUGUUCCCUUGCUUCCUCUAUCUCCUUUCUCAAUCUUAUUGUUCCCUUGCUUC